rnacentral:tRNA from 2 species
GGGCGAGUGGCGGAACGGCAGACGCGCCGGCCUUAGGAGCCGGUGUCGCAAGACGUGCGAGUUCGAAUCUCGCCUCGCCCACCA